rnacentral:rRNA from 1 species
CCUACGGGCGGCUGCAGUGGGGAAUAUUGCACAAUGGGCGCAAGCCUGAUGCAGCCAUGCCGCGUGUGUGAAGAAGGCCUUCGGGUUGUAAAGCACUUUCAGCGGGGAGGAAGGCGGUGAGGUUAAUAACCUCAUCGAUUGACGUUACCCGCAGAAGAAGCACCGGCUAACUCCGUGCCAGCAGCCGCGGUAAUACGGAGGGUGCAAGCGUUAAUCGGAAUUACUGGGCGUAAAGCGCACGCAGGCGGUCUGUCAAGUCGGAUGUGAAAUCCCCGGGCUCAACCUGGGAACUGCAUUCGAAACUGGCAGGCUAGAGUCUGGUAGAGGGGGGUAGAAUUCCAGGUGUAGCGGUGAAAUGCGUAGAGAUCUGGAGGAAUACCGGUGGCGAAGGCGGCCCCCUGGACAAAGACUGACGCUCAGGUGCGAAAGCGUGGGGAGCAAACAGGAUUAGAUACCCCGGUAGUC